rnacentral:tRNA from 1 species
GAGGGUAUGGCUCAGAGGUAGAGCACGUGCUUAGCAUGCACAAGGUCCUAGGUGUCUCUGUCAAAAAAGAAAUAAACCUAAUUACCCUCC